rnacentral:tRNA from 1 species
GCCCGGCUAGCUCAAUCGGCAGAGCGUGAGACUCUUAAUCUCAAGGUUGCGGGUUCAACCCCCGCGUUGGGUU